CUUGGCUUUAGAGUCAACAAUCGCGGAACUUAAGAAAUCAUGGGUUUCGAAAAGAAAGGAUUUACCACCGAUUGCUGGCAUAAUAUUUUACUUUCGUCAAGGACAUAAAACACGCAAAAACUCGGACAAGUGGAGAAACAUAAUUUAACAAAUAAAAAAAAACAACAUACGUAAUACGUUCUCCAUACGGAGUUCUGAUGGAGAAGCACUGAAUUGGACAUAUAUACGACGUUCAACAUUGCCUAUAGAUCAGCAGUUGGUUCCCCUCUACCAUGGAACGCAGGCGGAUGUCCAGAAUUGAAAUGUGCGCUGUAUCGCUGUAUUCCCAAAAUGUCUAUUUAAAAUCUAUGGCUCAAUUACAAAGAAAUACA